rnacentral:rRNA from 1 species
GUGGGGAAUAUUGGACAAUGGGGGCAACCCUGAUCCAGCCAUUCCGCGUGAGUGAAGAAGGCCUUCGGGUUGUAAAGCUCUUUCGGCAGGAACGAAACGGUGAGCUCUAACAUAGCUCGCUAAUGACGGUACCUGAAGAAGAAGCACCGGCUAACUACGUGCCAGCAGCCGCGGUAAUACGUAGGGUGCGAGCGUUAAUCGGAAUUACUGGGCGUAAAGCGUGCGCAGGCGGUUGUGUAAGACAGGUGUGAAAUCCCCGGGCUUAACCUGGGAACUGCGAUUGUGACUGCACGGCUAGAGUAUGGCAGAGGGGGGUGGAAUUCCACGUGUAGCAGUGAAAUGCGUAGAGAUGUGGAGGAACACCGAUGGCGAAGGCAGCCCCCUGGGCCAAUACUGACGCUCAUGCACGAAAGCGUGGGGAGCAAACAGGAUUAGAAACCCUUGUAGUCC